GAUGAACGCUAGCGAUAGGCCUAACACAUGCAAGUCGAGGGGCAUCACAUGAAGUAGCAAUACGGAUGGUGGCGACCGGCGCACGGGUGAGUAACACGUAUGCAACCUGCCUUCAACAAGGGGAUAACCCGUUGAAAGACGGACUAAUACCCUAUAACACAGGGGUCCCGCAUGGGAAUAUUUGUUAAAGGACAACCGGUUGAAGAUGGGCAUGCGUUCCAUUAGCUAGUUGGCGGGGUAACGGCCCACCAAGGCAACGAUGGAUAGGGGAACUGAGAGGUUUAUCCCCCACACUGGUACUGAGACACGGACCAGACUCCUACGGGAGGCAGCAGUGAGGAAUAUUGGUCAAUGGACGCAAGUCUGAACCAGCCACGUCGCGUGAAGGAAGACGGCCCUACGGGUUGUAAACUUCUUUUAUACGGGAAUAAAGUGCCCCACGCGUGGGGUUUUGCAUGUACCGUAUGAAUAAGGAUCGGCUAACUCCGUGCCACGAGCCGCGGUAAAU
rnacentral:rRNA from 1 species